GUUUUUAUAGUUGAAAUACAACGAUGGUUUUUCAUAUCAUCGGUCAUGGUUGGAGCCCAUGUAGAAACG
rnacentral:tRNA from 1 species